GAUGAAGAACGUAGCGAAAUGCGAUAAGUAAUGUGAAUUGCAGAAUUCAGUGAAUCAUCGGAUCUUUGAACGCACAUUGCGCCCGCCAGUAUUCUGGCGGGCAUGCCUGUUCGAGCGUCAUUUCAACCAUCAAGCCCUGCUUGCGUUGGGGUCCUGCGGCUGCCCGCAGGCCCUGAAAACCAGUGGCGGGCUCGCUAGUCACACCGAGCGCAGUAAUACAUCUCGCUUUGGGCGUGCGGCGGGUUCUUGCCGUUAAACACCCCCUUUUUACCAAGGUUGACCUCGGAUCAGGUAGGAAUACCCGCUGAACUUAAGCAUAUCAAUAAGCGGAGGA
rnacentral:misc_RNA from 1 species